rnacentral:rRNA from 1 species
GAUGAACGCUGGCGGCGUGCCUAAUACAUGCAAGUCGAGCGAACGGACGCGAAGCUUGCUUUUCUGAUGUUAGCGGCGGACGGGUGAGUAACACGUGGAUAACCUACCUAUAAGACUGGGAUAACUUCGGGACACCGGAGCUAAUACCGGAUAAUAUUUUGAACCGCAUGGUUCAAAAGUGAAAGACGGUCUUGCUGUCACUUAUAGAUGGAUCCGCGCUGCAUUAGCUAGUUGGUAAGGUAACGGCUUACCAAGGCAACGAUGCAUAGCCGACCUGAGAGGGUGAUCGGCCACACUGGAACUGAGACACGGUCCAGACUCCUACGGGAGGCAGCAGUAGGGAAUCUUCCGCAAUGGGCGAAAGCCUGACGGAGCAACGCCGCGUGAGUGAUGAAGGUCUUCGGAUCGUAAAACUCUGUUAUUAGGGAAGAACAUAUGUGUAAGGAACUGUGCACAUCUUGACGGUACCUAAUCAGAAAGCCACGGCUAACUACGUG